rnacentral:misc_RNA from 1 species
GAUGAAGAACGUAGCGAAAUGCGAUACGUAGUGUGAAUUGCAGAAUCACGUGAAUCAUCGAAUCUUUGAACGCACAUUGCGCCCCUUGGUAUUCCGAGGGGCAUGCCUGUUCGAGCGUCAUUAUAACCACUCAAGCUUUCGCUUGGUAUUGGGGCUCGCGGUUCCGCGGCCCCUAAAAUCAGUGGCGGUGCCUGUCGGCUCUACGCGUAGUAAUACUCCUCGCGAUUGAGUCCGGUAGGUCUACUUGCCAGCAACCCCCAAUUUUUACAGGUUGACCUCGGAUCAGGUAGGGAUACCCGCUGAACUUAAGCAUAUCAAUAAGCGGAGGA